rnacentral:rRNA from 2 species
GACAGAGGUGCCGAGCGUUAGGCGGAAUCACUGGGCUUAAAGCGUGUGUAGGCGGCCCGUUAAGUGUCUUGUGAAAUCCCCCGGCUCAACCGGGGAACUGCUGGGCAUACUGGCGGGCUUGGGUCGCUCAGGGGCAGACGGAACAGGCGGUGGAGCGGUGAAAUGCGUAGAUAUCGCCUGGAACGCCGAAGGUGAAAACAGUCUGCUGGGGGCGCACCGACGCUGAGACACGAAAGCCAGGGGAGCGAACGGG